GAAAAGGAGAGCAACAAAAAUGGGGGAAAAUCAGUAUAAAUAAAUAAUAAAAAGGAGAGAGAAGAAACGGUCCAGCGAUUGUAAAAUGGCAACGGAGGAGAAGCUCCUCCUUUUCCUUGACAGAUCUCUUUCUCUUCUUCGCUGUUAUUUUAAAAUUCUUUAAUGAAUUUGAAUGCCUUUGAUUAGAUCAACCAACAACGAUCUCGAUUAAUCAAAUGAAAUGCAAAUCAAACUCCAAAAUACGUGAUUCGAAUGUGAAAUUUCGUCAUUGUUGGAAUUACUUUUGUUGGUAAUAAAGAAAGAGGGUGAAUGGUGGUUGGAAAAGAGAAAAAGAAAAGGAGGAGGCGGAGGAGGUGGGUAUUGUUUUAAGUGUAAUGUCUUGUGGGGGAAAGGAAAAGCAAUGGAGUUGUGGAAAAGCCGCCGCCGCCGCCGCCGCCGCUGCCGGAGCCGUCAAUAUUCAAAGAGUUGGUUCUAUCGUUCGCGACAUUGGAGAUCCUUGCCUUUCCCAAUCUCCCAUCAAGGUUGUUUUGGCUGUAAGCAAGAUGCUUAAGCCAGAGAAGUGGCAGGCCACUUUUGAUAACGAAGGGAAGGUUUCUGGUUUUCAGAAAGCACUCAGGUUGAUUGUUUUGGGGGGAGUUGAUCCAUCUAUAAGACCAGAAGUUUGGGAAUUUCUUCUAGGUUGCUAUGCAUUGGGCAGCACUGCAGACUACCGAAGGCAAUUAAGGACAGCCCGAAGGUCUAGGGAACGUUACAAGGACCUCGUGAAGCAAUGCCAGACUAUGCAUUCAAGCAUAGGAACUGGCUCACUUGCCUAUAAUGUGGGUUCAAAAGUUAUGGAUAUGAGGACAUCCUCCAAAGAUGGGGGAAAAAGGGAAUCAAAAGUUGAAUGUAGACAAGCUUCCACUGAUGAUACUGAUAAAACGGAGAAAUAUUCUGAUUUGGGUAAUAACGGUACUGAUAAGUCAUAUGCUGACCAAAGAGAGUGUUGUAGUGAUAUCACUGACCUUGUCAGUGUGAGGGGAAAUACUCAGACUGCUGCAUAUGACUCUUGUUUUUUAUCAACUUCUGGUCUGUAUGGCCGCUGUUCCUCAAAAAUAGGGGGAGAAUGUCACGGAUCAGAAUUCAUAACUGAAUGUCAUUUUGAUUUUCCCCCUUUACCAGUAACAGAUUUGUUUGAGAAGAGUGAAGACAAGAAAGAAUUUGAUGCAAAUGAGGAAGGGUAUUCUGCACAAUGUAAAUUGAUAUUUGAGGAUGACAAUAUGCAUAGUUUUCAAAUCAAUAACAAUGCUGAUUUAAUCAUGGAAUCAAAUGUUUCACCCUCACUAUCUAACAAUAUCUCAUGUCCCUUUAACUCGGAAAUUCAGUUGAUCCAUCCUGAUGCUUAUGAGCCAGUUCUGACAUCCAACAAUGUAAGUUAUAAAACAGAAACAGUCAACAGAUUAAGAAUAUCAGAUGUUCCAGAAACACCUUUGGUAAAUGCAACCAUAUCUCAAGAAGGGGCUGCCAAUGAUGAAAGAGUAUCUGAAUGGCUUUGGACUCUGCACAGAAUAGUUGUUGAUGUGGUGAGAACGGAUAGUCAUCUUGAAUUCUAUGAGGAUACGAGAAAUUUAGCUAGAAUGUCUGAUAUUCUUGCUGUUUAUGCAUGGGUUGAUUCUGCAACUGGUUAUUGUCAAGGUAUGAGUGACCUGCUGUCUCCUUUUGUUGUUCUCUUUGAGGAUAACGCGGAUGCAUUUUGGUGCUUUGAGAUGCUCCUUAGGAGAAUGCGUGAAAAUUUUCAGAUGGAGGGACCAACUGGUGUGAUGAAGCAGCUGCAAGCAUUGUGGCAUAUCUUGGAACUCACAGACAGGGAAAUUUUUGCACAUCUGUCGAAUAUAGGUGCUGAAAGCCUUCAUUUUGCAUUUCCAAUGCUGCUGGUUCUAUUUCGCCGAGAAUUAUCUUUCAAUGAGGCUCUUCGUAUGUGGGAGAUGAUGUGGGCAGCUGAUUUUGAUGAAUCUGUCACAUGCAAUUUAGAGGAGAUUUGUCUGGAAGCAUUGAUUGUACAGCUUCCGAGGGAUUCUGGGUCAGAAAUCGGAGAAGAAAACUCAGAAAAUGGAAAUGAUGGUGUAAAGGAUGGCCUACAGUUGAAACAUUCCUUGUCUGAGAAUGAUGGAAUAAAAUCAGCAUCAGCUUAUCCCUUUUGUGGUUUGACACGGAAUUUUUGGUCUAGAAAUGAUCGCCUUCAAAUAUGCAAUGUUGUCUCAUCAACUAGGAAAGGAGAUGACGAUUUGCCUGUCUUUUGUGUGGCUGCUAUUCUUAUCAUGAACCGUCAAAAAAUCAUCAGGGAAACCCGUUCAAUAGAUGACAUGAUAAAGAUUUUCAAUGAUAAGCUUCUGAAAAUCCAUGUCAAAAGAUGCAUAGGUGCUGCGAUCAAACUCAGAAAGAAAUAUUUGUACAAGGUUAGCUAAUCAAGAACAAAGGCCAUCCAGCUCGGAAUAGUGAGUAGGUCACAGCAUUUCCUGCCUACUAUCAUGGCAAGAAAAGGCAGCAGCACUUUGAGCCAGUAUUUAGUAUCUGGGAUUCCUAGUUUGGACAUGGCAUGAAAGUUUAUGUUGAAUCUCUUAUGAUGGAGCAUGAAGCAGAAGUGCUUUUGCUGUCCGAAGAUUCAUCCUUUUUUUGCACCUCCAUUUUCUUCAAGUCUGUUCCAAGCUUACAAAGAUUUCUCCUUUUGCCCCCUCAUUUUGGAGCCAUGAGAAAGACUGGAAAGUGGUAAGAAGUCCCAUCUAUUCGAGGUUCAUGCAGAUGUAAGCAUUUGGCUAUUACGCGGAACCUCUCACAGGUUAGGCAAGCGUGAUCUGGCUUUUUUUUACCUUUAUAUAAUUUAUAUUAUUUUGUAAAUGUAAAUGUUAAAUUGUUCAUCAAGUUUGUUUUCUUAUUUAUGCACGUGAAUUUACAGAUAAUAUUCUCUGUAGUUAAUAGAUGAUUGUUGAACUUUUAGCUUUUCUGUAGGACAGUGUAGGCCAGGAUUGAAAGAAGUUAUACAAUUUUAUUUGUGGAAAGAAAAGAGUUUUUCCA